rnacentral:rRNA from 1 species
GAGAGUAAAACAGUACGUGAAAUUGUUGAAAGGGAAACGAUUGAAGUCAGUCAUGCCGGCGUUGGAUUCAGCUUGCUUCGCGGAGCGGGCGCAUUUCCUCGCAUGGCAGGUCAGCGUCAGUUUUGCGCGGCGUGAAAAGGCUCGGGUAAGGUAGCUCUCUUCGGGGAGUGUUAUAGACCUGGGCAGAUGCGCUGCGCGGGACUGAGGAUUGCAGCGGACAUCCCUUCGGGGGCGCGGCGACCGAACCCUGCUCGGCCACCCGAGUUCGAUAGCGUGCUAACGGACGCGGGAGCGGCAGUGCACCGGAACAGGCAAGCCAGCAGUUCGCUUAGGAUGCUGACGUAAUGGCUUUAAACGA